CAGGUAGGGGCGACACAGGGGUCGGCGAGGGCGGCAAUGCAGGGUGGCGGGCCGUGACGGCGCCAGCGGGGGCGGCGGCGCAGGCAAGGGAGGUAGGGGGUGGGAGUUAAGGUUUAGAUUUGAUGCAUACGAUGGAUCUCAUUUCUUACCCACGCUUUUUUGUUAUUCUAGCAGACAGAAUUGCUUUGAUAAAAUUGAUUGGAAAGCUCCAAAUUAGGUUCAAUGUGUUCCUACGUGGAUAGGUUUUCCGGGUCAAUUCGGCCUGGUGGCCAAACUUUUUUUCUUUUCUUUUUUGAGAUUACCAAACUAUUUUUCUACCGGCCUAUCUAUCAUCGGAGCCACGGCCCACACGGUAGCCUACCAAUCUCUCUUGGCAGGCACGGCCCAAGGCUCGCUCCUCAAUUCCACGCGCAAGCACGCGCCCAUGCAAGUUUGAUUCCUCUUCCGAAGCUCCAAUCGCGGCGCAUCUCGCCGUCGUCGCCGAGCCGCCGCGCCG
rnacentral:lncRNA from 1 species